GGGCGAGUGGCGUAAUGGCAGCCGCACGGCACUUAAACUGCCGGGGAGAAAUCCGUGAGGGUUCGAGUCCCUCCUCGCCCA
rnacentral:tRNA from 1 species